AAUGAAACUUCCUUACUGUUCACUAACCUACAUCUCAAUUACCUCCCAACAUGUUUGCAGCAAGUACCCUGUCGAUGGUAGGCAAGAGGAAGGUGUGACCCACAAAGAUCAAGGAAUCUAAGCCGGCCAAGUUCUAAAGGCUGGAAAGUCCAAGACCAAGACACCAGCAGAUUCAGUGUCUGGUGAGAGCCCACUCUCUGAUUCACAGAAGGCUUCUUACUGUGUUGAAAAGUGCAAGAGUAGCGACGCUGGUGAUUCCGACAUGCCAGAAAGAGGCUGCAAAGUGCUUCCUGUAAGCGAAAAGCUGAAAGUUCUCAAUGUAAUAAGGAAAGAAAAAGAAAUCAUAUGCUGAGGUUGCUAAGAUCUAUGGUACUCAGGGAGUUUUGAAAUCUUCCAAGAUGCCAUCGAGGAACUGAAAAGUGCUGUCCAGCUGCAGUGAGGGCUUUUUAAAGGCAGUUCCAUGUCUACACCCCACUGAGUUCAGACUGUCCAAUGAACCACUGACAUUGUUACACCUGCGUAUUGUGGACAACUUGAGAAAACACUUGUCUGCAGGAAGAUGAAAUUAAAAUCAAGUGUGAUCCUACCACCGAAAGAUAAGUGUUACUGAUAUUUUUUGUUAAUAACAUUCCAGUUUUUUAUGUAGUUUUGGGCUAGCUUAUUAUUUUCAUGUGAUUUCAAACUUGGAGAAAGUUUCCAAGAUGAGUCCAAGGAGCUCUCAUAUGCUCCUCACCCAGAUCCACUAACUGGCCACAUUUUGUCCCAUUUGCUUUAUUAUUCCUUCUACCCCUCUCUCUCUAAAGUAUUAUUAUAUGUUAAAUAUAUCUUAAUAUAAUUAUAGUUAUGUUAAAUAUAUCUUAAUAUAGUUACAAAUAAUU
rnacentral:lncRNA from 1 species